ACUCCUACGGGAGGCAGCAGUGGGGAAUAUUGCACAAUGGGCGCAAGCCUGAUGCAGCCAUGCCGCGUGUGUGAAGAAGGCCUUCGGGUUGUAAAGCACUUUCAGUCGUGAGGAAGGUAGUGUAGUUAACACCUGCAUUAUUUGACGUUACCCUACAGAAGAAGCACCGGGCUAACUCCGUGCCAGCAGCCGCGGUAAUACGGAGGGUGCGAGCGUUAAUCGGAAUUACUGGGCGUAAAGCGCAUGCAGGCGGCCUGUUAAGUCAGAUGUGAAAGCCC
rnacentral:rRNA from 1 species